rnacentral:rRNA from 1 species
GUCUCAGGCCGUAUCAGCCUGAAGGCGCCCGAUCUCGUCUGAUCUCGGAAGCUAAGCAGGGUCGGGCCUGGUUAGGA